rnacentral:SRP_RNA from 1 species
UGCCAGGGCCCACGGGCUACGGACUAAUGAACCCCGCCAGGGCCGGAAGGCAGCAACGGUAGUUAGCUCCGUGGUGCCGUGGUCACCCUGGCGCAA